rnacentral:rRNA from 1 species
GACGAACGCUGGCGGCGUGCUUAACACAUGCAAGUCGAACGAAGUGGCGAACGGGUGAGUAAUACGUGGGUAACCUGCCCUCCUUUUUGGGAUAAGCCUUGGAAACGGGGUCUAAUACCGAAUAAAGGGGGAUGGGCUCGCGGCCUAUCAGCUUGUUGGUGGGGUGAUGGGCUACCAAGGCGGUGACGGGUAGCCGGCCUGAGAGGGGAACCGGCCACUGUGGGACGGAGAAACGGCCCAGGCUCGUACGGGGGGCGGCAGAGGGGAAUAUUGGAGAAUGGGCGAAAGACUGAUGCAGCGACGACGCAUAGGGGAUGAGGGCUUUCGAGUUGUAAAACUCUUUCGCUAUGGAACGGGUAGGUGGAGAAGAAGCGCCGGCUAACUACGUGCCAGCAGCCGCGGUAAUUC